UACGUAGGGGGCAAGCGUUGUCCGGAAUUAUUGGGCGUAAAGCGCGCGCAGGCGGCCUUUUAAGUCUCGUGUCUAAACCCCGGGCUCAACCCGGGGGUGCAGGGGAUACUGGGAGGCUGGAGUGCAGGAGAGGAAAGUGGAAUUCCACGUGUAGCGGUGAAAUGCGUAGAGAUGUGGAGGAACACCAGUGGCGAAGGCGACUUUCUGGCCUGAAACUGACGCUGAGGCGCGAAAGCGUGGGGAGCAAACAGG
rnacentral:rRNA from 1 species